AAUAUUUGCCAGAAAAGUAUUAAUCAUAUUCGGUAAAUUAAAUUAAAUUUAUUUCUUCUUUUAAGCUAAAAUGGAAUGUCAAACUUUUUAUUAUUUUAUUUAAAUUUAAAAUUCGUCAUAAGAAUUUUUUAUUAUUUAAUACUUUACUAACGAUUUGUAAUUUUCAAUAUUUUUCAAGUUCAAUCGAUCAUCCUGAUUGCAAGUCAUUGUUGAUUGGAAACGUCCGUGAGCAGAAGCUGGAAAAUUAUCCCCAUCUGUUUUAUCGAACUACUUUUCUUCAAAAAUUCCAUCUAGGAGAGACCUAAAUAGUAUCAAGGACAAUCAUUGUCUUUUCCAUGGAAUUGGAAAAGUGAUUCGCAGAUAGCAGCAGAACUCAGAGCAAACAGUAAAGGCCGUAAAUCUGCAAAACACAACUUAGAAAAGUGAGCGCUGUAAUAAAAGUAGACGAGGAGCACUACCACUGAUCAAAUUUCAUUAUGUCAUCGUUUAUCUUUACGGGGCAAAACACAAUCAGUCUUUUGAAAUAUCUUAUUUCUUCUGAAACUGGUAAACACAAUUGGGAGAAAGCAGAAGAACAUACAUCCAAAAGCUGAGAAGAAGACUUCACGAAACUACUAGAAAGUCGUGCAACACCCCAUAGAAAUUAAUGUAAUACAAUUUUAUUGUGAAUACACAUUAUUUAUGUCAAAUAAAUUUAUUUUUGAAAUCAUAGCAAGAGUUUUUUAAAUAUACCCUGGUACUGUUAUAUCUACCCGAGAAUAUUAUUUGAUUUAAUGUGGAGGAAUAUCAAAGCAAACAUAUUUGCCAUUGAAUCUAUGGUAAAGUACAUUUAAAUAUACCAAGGAAAUUUUUAAUUUUACCCAUUGUGUAUUUAAAUUAAUGGUAAAUCGUGGUUAAAACAAAUAUUUCUACUAUUGAAACUAUGGUAGUGUUACCCAGAAAUUUUUGAUUCUACCCAUGAAAGUGUUUAAAAUCCACUUUAGAAAUAAAGUGCAAAUGUAUUUGAUUUAAAAGACAUGUUUUCUUUUCAAAUACAGUGCCAUUCAAAAUAAAUACAAAUAUAUUUGUUGUGGCUAUGAUUACUGCCUUUCAGAUCAAAUGUAAAAAUAUUUGAAGUAAAAGUCAUCUGUAUUUAAAUCAAAAAAUACUUUAAAAUCAAAUGUAUUCUACCAUUGGGGCCAAAAUACCCAUAAUUUCAUUUGAUUUUACCCAGAAAA